rnacentral:rRNA from 1 species
UACGGAGGGUGCGAGCGUUGUCCGGAAUUAUUGGGCGUAAAGAGCUCGUAGGCGGUUUGUCGCGUCUGCUGUGAAAACUCAGGGCUUAACCCUGAGCCUGCAGUGGGUACGGGCAGACUAGAGUGUGGUAGGGGAGAUCGGAAUUCCUGGUGUAGCGGUGGAAUGCGCAGAUAUCAGGAGGAACACCGGUGGCGAAGGCGGAUCUCUGGGCCAUAACUGACGCUGAGGAGCGAAAGCAUGGGGAGCGAACAGGA